GAUGAAGAACGCAGCGAAAUGCGAUAAGUAAUGUGAAUUGCAGAAUUCAGUGAAUCAUCGAAUCUUUGAACGCACAUUGCGCCCCUUGGUAUUCCGAGGGGCAUGCCUGUUCGAGCGUCAUUAUAACCCCUCAAGCUCAGCUUGGUGUUGGGGCCUGCCGCACGGGCAGCCCUUAAAAUCAGUGGUGGUGCCAUCUGGCUCUAAGCGUAGUAAUUCUUCUCGCUAUAGAGUCCCGGUGGAUGCUUGCCAUUAACCCCCAAUUUUCUAUGGUUGACCUCGGAUCAGGUAGGGAUACCCGCUGAACUUAAGCAUAUCAAUAAGCGGAGGA
rnacentral:misc_RNA from 1 species